rnacentral:misc_RNA from 1 species
AUUCAACAAUAGGGGAAAAGACAGAGACAAUGGGAAAUUGUGCUUCCGAUGGGGUGGGGACUGAGAAGGAAAGGACAGACAGACAGACAGACAGGGGGUUGUACAGAAGAGGUCCGGUUUCUUGAAGCAGCUGGAAGUCCUGGAUAGUUCCCACCUGAAAGUCUGUUUGCAAAGGCAAUGCGCACUCAGGCACCAGAGGGCAGAGGACAGAAGCUUUUCCUCAAAGGUGCAAAAGGAGCAACUGUGUUGAACAGGGGCUCAAGUUCCAGGGUUUUAAGGUGCUUGGAACUCCCAGGAGCCUGGCAAACCUUCAUCCAGAACCUCUUCCUCAAGCAAGACAAAAAGCUGCUAAGCACUGCUCCCUCCGUCUCUGUGAAGAGACCAGCUUCUAACAGACGGUGCCGGGCUGACCCCCCAUCAUGCCAGGCUGGCUCACCCUCCCCACACUCUGCCGCUUCCUUCUUUGGGCCUUCACCAUCUUCCACAAAGCCCAAGGAGACCCAGGUAAGACCCCAGCCCAGGCCAGAAUCUGGGGGAGGCUUGGGGAGACUGCAAGGGUGGGGAAAGGGGAAAGGGCAGUUGUUGCAGGUACCCAGGGACUGAAAGUCAUUGCUGAGAAGGCAAUGGAGGAGAGGGUUGGGGGGCUCUGGAGAAAGCAUUUGGGGAGCAGGGUCUGAUGGGCACUUGGGGCAGUGAGGAUUGGGGGUUCCUGCCACUGU